UGGGGAAUAUUGCACAAUGGGCGCAAGCCUGAUGCAGCGACGCCGCGUGCGGGAUGGAGGCCUUCGGGUUGUAAACCGCUUUUGUUUGGGAGCAAGCCCUUCGGGGUGAGUGUACCUUUCGAAUAAGCACCGGCUAACUACGUGCCAGCAGCCGCGGUAAUACGUAGGGUGCGAGCGUUAUCCGGAUUUAUUGGGCGUAAAGGGCUCGUAGGCGGUUCGUCGCGUCCGGUGUGAAAGUCCAUCGCCUAACGGUGGAUCUGCGCCGGGUACGGGCGGGCUGGAGUGCGGUAGGGGAGACUGGAAUUCCCGGUGUAACGGUGGAAUGUGUAGAUAUCGGGAAGAACACCAAUGGCGAAGGCAGGUCUCUGGGCCGUUACUGACGCUGAGGAGCGAAAGCGUGGGGAGCGAACA
rnacentral:rRNA from 1 species